rnacentral:lncRNA from 1 species
AUUCUAGACAAUAAACAAAACAGUAAAUGAAGUUGUGAAUUGUAGUUCUUGCCUAUUUUAUUUCUGAGGUUUAAAAUUUACACUGAAAAUUUCACAUUGGCCUAGAUGAGUCAAUUCUAGUAUACCCCUGAUCAGAAUAUUGGGGAUUCAGUGGUAUUAGAACUAAAAGGUAUGUGCACCAAGUUCAUCAUAAAUAUGCCAAGUCAUUUAGCAGCAGAAGACCAACAGGCUGCCUAAGGAUGAGUGAAUAUUCAAAGCUAGGAAAAUAGAUCAGGUUAAAGCUUCUAGAUAGGUAAGUAUUGGGAUCAGACCAGGGAUGUGUUGGAGCCAAUUUCUAUUUGCUAAGAAAAAGUUUUGUUACAUUUUAAAUGUGAGUAUUUAUACCUCCAAAAAAUACUACUAAUCAGAGCUUGACUUACUGUUUUGUUCUCUCUCUAGACUUGAUGAAGUUAUGGAGAAAAUACCAAUACUGCAUAUUGCAUUUAAAAUUGUGGAGACGUUGUUGUUAUUUACCAGCAGAACUCUAGAUUGCAAAAUCUAUGAAUGGCUGCUGCACUCCCAUCUCUGUUGUAAUUGCCAUUUCACUGGACCUAUUCUUAAUCUUACUUUGGAAAGAAAAUAGAAAGUCUCCUAACCAAUAAGAGAGAUUGUUCAUCUGGGACUGAGCUAUCAAGUUUUAAGAAGAUUGAAGAGAGCUAUAAGUUAAUGAAUGAGACCAUCAUAUUUCUUAAUAUGGCAAAGAAGAAAAUGGAAACAAGAGUUCUCUUUCCUCUACGGGUUGAGGAGGCGCCAGUAUGCUAUCUGGGAACAGCAGGAAGCAGUGCUCUCUAGUGAUCUGGGGACAGUUUCAGUUGUUUGGAGAGAAGAUGUACCAAAAUAUGGAGGAUCUCAGCUACACUAAAAAUAUACUUUUGAAGAGAAGAAUCUCAGCCACUGAAGAUGGCAGAUAGCAGAUAACUGAAAGGAAAUUUAAAUAACAACCCAGGGAUGCUUCUCAGUAUCUCUACCUGGAUCACAUUUAAAGUUACAUAAUUCUAUAAUGAUCCUAAGUUGCUCCCUGCUACUUUCCAGCAGCUGGGUGACAGAGUAGAUACAUCAAGCCUGAUGCCAGAAAGACCUGCGUUCAGAUUUUGUCUGAUACUUACUAGUUAUGUAGACCUAGGAGAUUUAUGGAACUUCUGCCUCAGUUUCCUUGACUGUAAAAUGAGGAUUAUAAUGUUACCUACUUCCCAAAGUUGUUGUGAGAAUUGAAUGAGAAAAUAUUUGUAAAGUGUUUCGCAGAAUUGUAGGCACAUGGCAAGAGCAUAAUAAAUGCUUUGUUGUUAUUGCUAUUGUUUUUAAA